rnacentral:rRNA from 1 species
UACGAAGGGGGCUAGCGUUGUUCGGAAUCACUGGGCGUAAAGGGCGCGUAGGCGGCUUUAUAAGUCGGGGGUGAAAGCCUGUGGCUCAACCACAGAAUUGCCUUCGAUACUGUAGAGCUUGAGACCGGAAGAGGUAAGUGGAACUGCGAGUGUAGAGGUAAAAUUCGUAGAUAUUCGCAAGAACACCAGUGGCGAAGGCGGCUUACUGGUCCGGUUCUGACGCUGAGGCGGCGAAAGCGUGGGGAGCAAACAGG